rnacentral:lncRNA from 10 species
GGAAAACUACGACCCCUAGAAUCUUUGAUGUUGGAUCGGAGCCAUGUGCCUGAGUUCUGGCCUAGGAAAUGUGAACACAAAUCAUGUGUCACCCCUGAGAGAAGCCAGUGAGGAUCAUCCAUCUCUCCAUUCUCUCACCACAGCAACUUUGGAAGCUGUGGCAUUAUCAUCAUAUGGAAAGAGCUUGGAAUGAGAACACAUGGACACAGGAAGGGGAACAACACACACUGGGGCCUGCGCGGUGCUUGAUCCAUAUAGUAAAUGCUCGGGCAGCAGAAAUAAGAGGCGGUUUUUAACAAUGUAAGCUGAUGAAAAUUUUUUGAUUAUAUAUAGUGUCUUCCUUACUAAGUCAGUAUAGAAACCUAGUCCUCUUAGGGCUCAAUUAAUAUACAAGUGGUAACUCUUCAAAUGGUCUAGGAAAGCAGCGGCCUUCACUCUGUUGGCUUAUAAAGGGAAUGAUUAUUGGUUUGUUAUUUAUGCCCUAGAAACUUCCAAAAAUAAUUUGAGAAUUUUCUUAGAACUAUUAAGUAUCAUUAGCAAUUAAAAACACCAUAUGUGUGACAAUACUGAAGUCUGUUGGUAACCACAAAACCAUGGAGUUACAGAAUGGUGAAAAUGGAACAAUCAAGUGUACGACUCAGCUCCUUUUUUAACAGAUAGAGAUGAGAACACUGGGAUCCUAACGGUGACAUGCAAUUUUAUUUUUUAUAACAACUUUAAGACAUAGUUCAUAUUUCACAUAAUUCACUAAUUUUAAGUAUGCAAGUCAAUGACUUUAAGUAUAUUCAAAAAGUUGUACAGUCAGUGUUACAACGAAUUUUGGAACAUUUUCAUCAUCCCAAGAAGAAGCUCAUUUCAACUCUUAUAUCCCUAGGCAACCAUUAAUCUAGUUGCUGUCUCUAAUAAUUUGCCCAUUCUAGACACUUCACUGGAAUGGAAUUCUGCACUAUGUGGUCUUUUGUGACUGGUUUAUUUCACUUAACAGAUGUUUUUGAGGUUCGCCCAUGUUGUAGCAUGUAACAGUACAUUUUUCCUUUUUAAUUAUUGAAAAAUGUUCUAUCAUGUUGAUAUAUCACAUUUUGUUCAUUCAUUCAUCCAUUGAUGGACAUGUGGGUUAUUUUCACCUUUUGGCUAUUAUGAACAAUGCUGCUAUGAACAUUCACGUAUAAGUUUUUGUGUGAGCAAAAGUAUUCAUUUCUCUUGGGUAUAUACCUAGGGAUAGAAUUGCUGAAUUAUGUGGUAACUCUAUAUUACCUUGUGAGGAAACACCAGACUGUUUUCCAAAGCAGCUAUGGCCAUCCUACAUUGCCACCAGCAAUGUAAGAGGGUUCCAAUUCCUCCAUAUCUUCACCAACAUUUGUUAUUAUCUGCCUUUUCGUUUAUGGCCAUCUUAGGGUCCAUGAAGGGGUAUCCCAUUGUGUUUAGUAUUUUCAUUUUCCUGAUGGUUAAUGACAUUGAGCUUGUUUUCAUGCACUGAUUUGCCAUUUGUAUAUCUUCUUUGAAGAAAUAUCUAUGUAAAUCUUUGGCCAUUUUAAAAUUAGUUUAUUUUUAAUUUGAUUAUUGAAGGUGUAAGAGACUUUAUAUAUCCUAGACACAGGUUCUCUCAUCAGAUAUAUGAUUUAUAAACAUGUUCUCCCAUUCGAUGGAUUGUCUUUUAUGUUCUUUGUGGUAUCCUUCAAAGAACAAAAAUUUUUAACUUUGCUGAAGUCCCAUUCGUCUGUUGUUUUUCUUUUGUGGUUUGUACUUUUGGUUUCAGAUCUGAGAAACCACUGCUCAAUACAAGCUCAUGUUGAUUUAUGCCUAUGUUUUCUUCUAAGAGUUUUACACUUUUAAUUUUUACAUUUCGGUCUCUGUUUCAUUUCUUACAUUUAGUAUUUGAUCCCCGUUGAGUUAGCUUUUGUAAUAUUGUGUGAAGCAGGGGUCCAACUUCAUGCUUUUGCAUGUGACAUCCAGUUGUCCCAGCAUUAUCUGUUGAAAAGACUAUUCUUUCCCUCAAUGAAAUGUCUUGAAAACCUAUCAAAAAUCAAUUAAUCAUAAAUAUUACAGUUAUUUCUGGAUUCUUAAUUCAAUUCCACUGCUCUAUACGUCCAUCCUUAUGCCAGUAUCAUACUGUCUUGAUUACUAUAGCUUUGUAGUAAGAUAUGAAAUAAGGAAGUAUGAGACUUCCAACUAUGUUCUUCUUUUUUGAGGUUAUUUAUUCUUUUAGGACUUUUAUAAAUGUAAUAGUUUCCUUGAUUUUAUUUUUGCAUUGUUUAUUGCUGGUGUAUAGAAAUACAAUAUUUUACACUUAUUGAUCUUGUAUCUUGACAUUUUGCUUGACAUUUUGCUGAAGAUUAUUUUCUGAUUUUCUUCUUAGGAUUUUCUGUUGCAAGUGGUGACUAUCUGGGGCUGGUGUCAUGAGGGUGGUAUAAAGAAUUUACCAAAGUGGUUGUAGGUAAAUAAAAGCAGAUUUAUUAGAGAAAGUAUUAAAAUAUGUUGCAAGGAAGCAAUAGGCAGGUCAGCAAGAAGGGAGAUAACUGCAAGGAGACAAAAGUUUGUUGGGAAUUUUAUAGGAUGGACCUUGUGCUGUGUGCUAAAUAGGGCUUUGCACAGUACUGAUAAUGCCAAGGUUGCAGUAAGCUAACUUGCAUGUUUCUAUCAGCCGAGGUGUCUGGUGAUAGCUAGGCACAGAAAGAUUGUGAGUUAUUUGCACAGGAGGGCUGUCUGCCCUGGAUCAUGAAGAAAGGCAGACUUAUAGCUUAUCUACCUUUUCUUUUUGCCUUCCCCUGCCCCUGCUAGCUUGACUCAUUUUCCCUAAUUAGAACUCUACAUUUUCUAAAUACAGGAUUAUGUCAUCUGCAAAUAAAGAUAGUUCUGCUUCCCCUUUUCCGAUCUGGAUGCCUAUUCUUUCCUUUCCUUACCUCUAAUUUCCCUGGCUAGAACCACUGACAGUGUUGAAUAGAAUUAGCAAGAGUGAAUAUCCUUAUCUUGUUACUAAUCUUAAGGGGAAAGCAGUCUUUCUGGAAAAAUAUGUUUUAAUGAGAAAUCCUUCACCACUAAAUAUAAUGUUAGCUGUGGGUUUUUCCUAAAGGCCAUUUGUCAGGUUAAGGAAGUUCCCUUCUAUUCCUAAGUUGUCUUUUUUUUCAUAAAGGAGUGGUGAAUUUUGUCAAAUGCUUUUACUGAAUCUUUUGGCAUGAUUAUGUGUUUUUUUUCUAUUAUUCGAGUCACAUAAUGUAUCACAUUAAAUAAUUUUCAGACAUUAAGCCAACCUUGCAUUCCUGCUGUAAACAUAAUUUGGUCACAGUGCAUAAUUAUUUUUAUAAACUGCUGGGUUUGUUUGCUGACUUUUUUCCUGAAGAUUUUACAUUUAUAUUCGUAAGAGAUAUUGGUCCAUAAUUUUCUUUUCCUGUAAUGUCUCUCUGGUUUUGAUAUCAGGACUCAUAGAAUGAAUUGAUAUUUUAUUUUUAAAGUAUGAAAAUCCCAGAAAAAAUUUAGACAGUAGGAAAAACUAAAAGUUGGAAAGUGUAAAUCUCCUUUCCUGUCCCAAGUUCACUGUGUGUGUGUGGAUACACAUAUAUGAGUUUUAUUCAUAGUUUUUUUGUGUGUAUAUACAUGUAUUUAUGUGUGUGGGGGUAUUAAUUUAGAGGUUUGUAGUUAAUAAAAUAAAAGCAAUUAUCUUAGAUCAGAUGGUGUAAAUUAACACAAUCAUCUUCUGAUUCUUGGU